rnacentral:lncRNA from 1 species
GAAAUAAAAACUCCGUUGAGGAAGCUAAAACAGGCAACUCUCUGGGGAUAAGGCUCAUACAAACCUCAGAUAAAAUAGACUAUGCUUUGGGGAAUAACUGUUACUCUGUCGGGGAUGACCCACAAUAUUCACAAGUAAAAUCAAUUUAGCUGGGGAUGCAGGUAUCGACCUGCUACUGAAACCUGUCCAAUCCACUGGUAGGAUGAACUCUGC